UCGACCUCAGAUCAGGUGGGACUCCCCGCCGAAUUUAAGCAUAUUAGUAAGCGGAGGAAAAGAAACUAACAAGGAUUCCCCUAGUAGCUGCGAGCGAACAGGGAUGAGCCCAGCACUGAAUCCCAAAGGCCUCGCCUUUAGGGAAAUGUAGUGUUUAGGAGUUCCCGUUUAACCCGGGGUCCGUGCACCGCGUUCAAGUCCAUCUUGAACGGGGCCACGGUCCGAAGAGGGUGCCAGGCCCGUAGAUGACCGGUGCCGGCCCCGGGUGGGUCCCUCCUUAGAGUCGGUCUGCUUGAGAGUGCAGCCCUAAGCGGGUGGUAAACUCCAUCUAAGGCUAAAUACAACCACGAGACCGAUAGAGAACAAGUACCGUGAGGGAAAGUUGAAAAGAACUUUGAAGAGAGAGUUCAAGAGUACGUGAAACCGCUCAGGGGUAAACGGAAAAGACCCGAAGCCCCGAAACGGGAGAUUCACGUCUUCUCGCCGGGUCCGCUCCACGAAAGGGGGGAUGGCCUUUCGCCCCGUCCGGCUCGUCCGUGGCGGUGGGUGGGCCGCCCCCCCACGGGGCAGCGUUCCCGCGGGGGACCGCACUUCUCCCUUAGUAGGACGUCGCGACCCGCUCCGCGGCGGUCUAAGGUCCGGAAGAUUGCCUGGCUCGGGGCCUCCACUUCGGUGGCGGUCACGUGACAGCUCUCCGGUACCGCGGCCGUCGGUCCGGGCGGUAUCGAAAGACUACGGCGCUUGGCCGCUCCAACCGCGAGCGCCGCCGUCUCCCCGCAAGACCGGGCGUUUACCAGGGGGUGCCUUAACGGACACGCCCGGCUAGGCGCUCGGGCCCCUGGCGGGCGAGCACUCCGGCACGGCCAAGUCCGCCAGUCGGCGGCGCUUCAGAUUCGGGAACUUAUCCGACCCGUCUUGAAACACGGACCAAGGAGUCUAGCGUGUGCGCGAGUCAUUGGGUGUAAAACCUAAAGGCGCAAUGAAAGUGUCAGGGGCGACUCCUUCAGGAGCGCGUCCCGUCGGGAGGAUGGGCCCCCGCACGACAUACUCGUCGGAGCCCCGCACUCCCGGGGCGUCUCGUUCUCAUCACGAGUGGAGACGCACCAGGAGCGCACACGCUGGUACCCGAAAGAUGGUGAACUAUGCCUGGCCAGGACGAAGCCAGGGGAAACCCUGGUGGAGGUCCGAAGCGAUUCUGACGUGCAAAUCGAUCGUCUGAGCUGGGUAUAGCGGCGAAAGACCAAUCGAACCAUCUAGUAGCUGGUUCCCUCUGAAGUUUCCCUCAGGAUAGCUGGCUCUCGGGAAGAGACGAGUCUCAUCCGGUAGAGCGAAUGAUUAGAGGUGAUGGGGUCGAAACGACUUCAACCUAUUCUCAAACUCCCAAUAGAUGAGAGCCCCGGCUUGCUUAAAAGUGAAGCCGCGGGACUCGGAUCAGAGAUGCCAAGUGGGCCAAUUUUGGUAAGCAGAACUGGCGCUGUGGGAUGAACCAAACGCAGAGUUAAGGCGCCUGAUUCGACGCUCACGUGAAACCAUGAAAGGCGUUGGUUGCUUAAGACAGCAGGACGGUGGCCAUGGAAGUCGGAAUCCGCUAAGGAGUGUGUAACAACUCACCUGCCGAAGCAACUAGCCCUGAAAAUGGAUGGCGCUGUAGCGUCGUGCCUAUACUCUGCCGUCAACGGCAAAGCGGGCCGCCCCUCGCGGGGAGUCGCCGUUAAGCCUUGACGAGUAAGAGGGUCGCGGCGGUGUGCGCGGAAGGGUCUGGGCGUGAGCCCGCCUGGAGCCGCCGCCGGUGCAGAUCUUGGUGGUAGUAGCAAAUACUCCAGCGAGGCCCUGGAGGACUGAUGUGGAGAAGGGUUUCUUGUGAACAGCUGUUGCACAAGAGUCAGUCGAUCCUAAGCCCUAGGAGAAAUCCGAAGAGAAUGGUUGCCGUUAUUGUAUUGCUUGUGCCGCUCGGGGAGCCGGUGUCCGCCGCGCGCGUCGGGUGGGUUGUGGAGCCUAGCUCCCCCUCCCCGCGCGCCGGCGUCCCGGCCGCCCUCGGUAGAUUAGUGCAGGCACCGUUCGGGCGAAAGGGAAUCCGGUUCCUAUUCCGGAACCCGGCAGCGGAACCGCUCCAAUUCGGGCCCUCAUCAGAGGACUCGUCGGGGUGACCCGAAAUGACCCGGAGAAGCCGUAGGGAGGUCCGGGGAGAGUUGUCUCUUCUCUAUAAGCGUUCGAGUUCCCUGGAAGCCUCUAGGAGGGAGAUAGGGUUUGGAACGCGAAGAGCACCGCACUUACGGCGGUGUCCGGAUCUUCCCCUCGGACCUUGAAAAUCCGGGCGAGGGCCACGGGGAACACCGCGCCGGCUCGUACCCAUAUCCGCAGCAGGUCUCCAAGGUGAAUAGCCUCUAGUCGAUAGAAUAAUGUAGGUAAGGGAAGUCGGCAAACCCGAUCUGUAACUUCGGGAUAAGGAUUGGCUCUGAGGAUCGUGGCGCGCCGGGCUUGGUCGGGAAGUGGAGCGGUG
rnacentral:rRNA from 1 species